AUCAAUCAAGCCUAGUAAACACCCCGAACAAAUAACGUUACGAGAUAAAGAUAUUGACAUAUUACUUAUUAUUGGACGGAUGUUUUAUCUAUCGCUUUUAUCUACUAUUUAAAUAAGGUGUUUUGGUGUAUUAAAUAAUACCUUGGGAGGGCCAGUUAGGGUUCUGAAAGCGAAGUCACUUAACCUCAAUUAAAUGUUAGUCCUGAGGAGUUUUUUGGUGCGAAACCGGUGGUGUUUAGUGGCCCUAGUGAUUGUUGGUUUCAUGUGCUAUUUGUCUGCUAGAGAUACGAAAAUCCCUCAUGAAAAUAGUGAGGAGUUAUUGAAAUAUUUGCGAAACGCCUCGAAGUUAAAGGGGGAGGGGGUUAUGUGAUUUUGUUUUGUUUACUGGAAAUAAAAAUGACGGUUUUUUUAAUUGGAAA